rnacentral:rRNA from 1 species
UACGUAGGGAGCGAGCGUUGUCCGGAUUCAUUGGGCGUAAAGAGCUCGUAGGCGGCUUGAUAAGUCGGAUGUGAAACCUCCAGGCUCAACCUGGAGUCGCCAUCCGAUACUGUCAUGGCUAGAGUCCGGUAGGGGCCCACGGAAUCCUGGUGUAGCGGUGAAAUGCGCAGAUAUCAGGAGGAACACCGGUGGCGAAGGCGGUGGGCUGGGCCGGCACUGACGCUGGAGGAGCGAAAGCGUGGGGAGCGAACAGG